GGUGGCUCAGUGGUAGAGUGCCUGCCUUGCAUGCAUGAGGUCCUAGGUUCAAUUCCUCAGCACCA
rnacentral:tRNA from 1 species